AGUGAACGCUGGCGGUAGGCCUAACACAUGCAAGUCGAACGGCAGCACAGUAAGAGCUUGCUCUUACGGGUGGCGAGUGGCGGACGGGUGAGGAAUACAUCGGAAUCUACUUUUUCGUGGGGGAUAACGUAGGGAAACUUACGCUAAUACCGCAUACGACCUACGGGUGAAAGCAGGGGAUCUUCGGACCUUGCGCGAUUGAAUGAGCCGAUGUCGGAUUAGCUAGUUGGCGGGGUAAGGGCCCACCAAGGCGACGAUCCGCAGCUGGUCUGAGAGGAUGAUCAGCCACACUGGAACUGAGACACGGUCCAGACUCCUACGGGAGGCAGCAGUGGGGAAUAUUGGACAAUGGGCGCAAGCCUGAUCCAGCCAUACCGCUUGGGUGAAGAAGGCCUUCGGGUUGUAAAGCCCUUUUGUUUGGAAAGAAAAGCAGCAGGUUAAUACCCCGCUGUUCUGACGGUACCCAAAGAAUAAGCACCGGCUAACUUCGUG
rnacentral:rRNA from 1 species